GCAGCACCCAGUACGGCGAGACGGCGUGGCCGCACGGACGCUGCGAGGUCCAGGGGCUGCGCCAGCAGCAGCUACCCUGCCGUUACCCUCCUUGCCGACGGCUCCUUCCUCGCGGCAGCGCCCAGUACGUCGAGACGGCGUGGCCCCAUGAGCUGCUACUCUGCCGUUCCCCUCCCCCUCCUCGCCGGUGGCUCCUCCCUCGCUGCAGCGCCCAGUACGGCGAGACGCCGGGGCUGCAUGGGCACCGCCAGGUCAACGGCUAAUACGGCGAGGCAGCGCGAGAUCCAGGGCCGACACCGGCCAAUACAGCGAGGCGCUGGAUGUCCGGCGGCUGUACGUCCUCCUGCCCGCCGUGCCCCCCACCCGCAUCACCAAGCAUCCCAACGGCAUCCACGCACCAAUUGUCAGUGAGAGGCAGAAGAGGAAUGCUGACACCGCGUUCAGUGCUCCUUCAGACAUGGAGUGCAGCAAGGCUUCAGAUGAUGACCUUGACAAGAUGAUAAUUAUGCAUAUCCAGGCUCACCAUACACGAAGAACUGUCUGGACAGGAAAGGAUCCUCAACAACCUAAGCCUGGAGAUGGAAACUACUUUCAACAGGCUCGACUUUGUGCAGAAACGGGUGGCGAUGGUGAUGAAGAAGGCCAGCAUCAAGAGGCAGAUCAUGCUCAUCCUCUACCUGGUGGUUCUCUUCAUUAUACUCUUCCUUCUGGUCUUCUUGACAUAGCAAUAUAUACUACUCGUAUAGCAUAGUGUACAUACGAGUACCUGCUUAUGGUAAGUUCUGUAGUAGAAGUAGAAAUAAGUGUACACAUUACCCAUUCUAUUCAAUCUUGCCGCUGUGUUCCACGUUUGAAACAAAACUCUCUCGUAGUUAUGCCUGUUCUAUCAAGCUUGAGACUAUCA